rnacentral:rRNA from 1 species
UACGUAGGGGGCAAGCGUUGUCCGGAAUCAUUGGGCGUAAAGCGCACGUAGGCGGCUUUGUAAGUCGGAUGUGAAAUCCCUCGGCUUAACCGAGGACGUGCAUCCGAAACUGCGAGGCUCGAGUAUGGAAGAGGGUCGCAGAAUUCCCGGUGUAGAGGUGAAAUUCGUAGAUAUCGGGAGGAAUACCAGUGGCGAAGGCGGCGACCUGGGCCAAUACUGACGCUGAGGUGCGAAAGCGUGGGGAGCAAACAGG